ensembl:lncRNA LINC02854 long intergenic non-protein coding RNA 2854
GAGACUCUUCACAGUUCAGGCGCUAAUGAUUUUUGCCACCAAACACUUAUGUUCACACCAUUUUUAAAGCAGUUUUAAAUCCUUGGGCAAUUGGUCAAAUGCUUCUUCUGGCUAUUUUCUUGAUUUAGGAGAUACAUGUGCAGGGCUGCUACCUGGGUAUAUUGUGUGACACUGAGGUUGGAGCACGAAUGGUCCCGUCACCUAAGUAUUCUGAAAGUCAGAAGUUUGAAGAGGGUUUUAGGGAUUCGAAUUAAGGUGUCAGCAGACCUGUGCUUCUCUGGAAGGCUCUACGGGAGAGAUUUACCUUCUCCAGCUUCCAGUGGCUGGCUGCCCACACACCUUGGCUCGUGGCCACCUCCUCACGUCAGUCCAGCCUCUGCCACCAUCGUCAACUCUCCCACUAUGACUGAGACCUUCUGCCUGUCUCAGCACAUGAGUUUCAGGCUCUCUACCGUUCAUGCCCAUGACACCAGGAGCAGCACCCUGGAGCAGACACAGCCAGACCACAAACCCAGCUCAAGGUUAAUCACUGCUGCCCGUCAAUGUGAUUAUCUCCCUCUGCAUGGCAGUGCCAUUUUCCCACUGUGGGACCAGAGUAUGUGCUGUCAUACACAACAGUAAACACUGGAUGCUGUUAA